GCUUAGCCGCAACAUUGAUUAUAUAAUCCGCCCGGGAAUUACGAACAAAAGUUUAAAACCCAAAGGACUUGGCGGUGCUUAACAUCCACCUAGAGGAGCCUGUUCUAUAACCGAUAAUCCCCGUUCAACCUCACCCCCCCUUGCCCGCUUAUAUACCGCCAUCGUCAGUCCACCCUAUGAAGGCCCCACAGUCGACAAAACCGGAACAACCCCAAACGUUAGGUCGAGGUGUAGCGUAUGGGGGGGGAAGAAAUGGGCUACAUUUGCUCGAAUGUUGAAAAAAGGAGGAUUUAGCAGUAAGCAGAAAAUAGAGCGUUCUACUGAAACCGGCACUUAAGCGCGC
rnacentral:rRNA from 1 species